rnacentral:rRNA from 1 species
UUUAUGGAGAGUUUGAUCCUGGCUCAGGAUGAACGCUGGCGGCGUGCCUAAUACAUGCAAGUCGAGCGAACGGACGAGAAGCUUGCUUCUCUGAUGUUAGCGGCGGACGGGUGAGUAACACGUGGAUAACCUACCUAUAAGACUGGGAUAAUUUCGGGAAACCG